rnacentral:rRNA from 1 species
UUUGCUGACGAGUGGCGGACGGGUGAGUAAUGUCUGGGAAACUGCCUGAUGGAGGGGGAUAACUACUGGAAACGGUAGCUAAUACCGCAUAACGUCGCAAGACCAAAGAGGGGGACCUUAGGGCCUCUUGCCAUCGGAUGUGCCCAGAUGGGAUUAGCUAGUAGGUGGGGUAACGGCUCACCUAGGCGACGAUCCCUAGCUGGUCUGAGAGGAUGACCAGCCACACUGGAACUGAGACACGGUCCAGACUCCUACGGGAGGCAGCAGUGGGGAAUAUUGCACAAUGGGCGCAAGCCUGAUGCAGCCAUGCCGCGUGUAUGAAGAAGGCCUUCGGGUUGUAAAGUACUUUCAGCGGGGAGGAAGGGAGUAAAGUUAAUACCUUUGCUCAUUGACGUUACCCGCAGAAGAAGCACCGGCUAACUCCGUGCCAGCAGCCGCGGUAAUACGGAGGGUGCAAGCGUUAAUCGGAAUUACUGGGCGUAAAGCGCACGCAGGCGGUUUGUUAAGUCAGAUGUGAAAUCCCCGGGCUCAACCUGGGAACUGCAUCUGAUACUGGCAAGCUUGAGUCUCGUAGAGGGGGGUAGAAUUCCAGGUGUAGCGGUGAAAUGCGUAGAGAUCUGGAGGAAUACCGGUGGCGAAGGCGGCCCCCUGGACGAACACUGACGCUC